rnacentral:rRNA from 2 species
GCGGCGGACGGGUGAGUAACACGUGGGUAACCUGCCCAUAAGACUGGGAUAACUCCGGGAAACCGGGGCUAAUACCGGAUAACAUUUUGAACCGCAUGGUUCGAAAUUGAAAGGCGGCUUCGGCUGUCACUUAUGGAUGGACCCGCGUCGCAUUAGCUAGUUGGUGAGGUAACGGCUCACCAAGGCAACGAUGCGUAGCCGACCUGAGAGGGUGAUCGGCCACACUGGGACUGAGACACGGCCCAGACUCCUACGGGAGGCAGCAGUAGGGAAUCUUCCGCAAUGGACGAAAGUCUGACGGAGCAACGCCGCGUGAGUGAUGAAGGCUUUCGGGUCGUAAAACUCUGUUGUUAGGGAAGAACAAGUGCUAGUUGAAUAAGCUGGCACCUUGACGGUACCUAACCAGAAAGCCACGGCUAACUACGUGCCAGCAGCCGCGGUAAUACGUAGGUGGCAAGCGUUAUCCGGAAUUAUUGGGCGUAAAGCGCGCGCAGGUGGUUUCUUAAGUCUGAUGUGAAAGCCCACGGCUCAACCGUGGAGGGUCAUUGGAAACUGGGAGACUUGAGUGCAGAAGAGGAAAGUGGAAAUUCCAUGUGUAGCGGUGAAAUGCGUAGAGAUAUGGAGGAACACCAGUGGCGAAGGCGACUUUCUGGUCUGUAACUGACACUGAGGCGCGAAAGCGUGGG